rnacentral:lncRNA from 12 species
AGACAAAUGAUCUGGAAGCUUCCUUUUUAUGGUUUCAUGAUGAGGCGAGGUCGUUUAACAAGAAAGAAAUGGUUCGCUUGACAUACCAGUUCAGACUUGGGAAAUUGAGGCUCGUGAGGAUGGGAGAUGCGCUGCAGGCAGGGGAGCGCCUUGAGAUUCCAAAUCAGGACCACAUUCCAAUCCCUCUGGGCUCUGGUUGCUCUUAAACGCGUGACUACGUGAAGUCAACACAUCCUCCCAGCAGGAAGUCAGGCCCCACUGAUCCACAGGACAAAACAAGAAGCCACUGAAGAUCAAAAC